CCAAUUCCUCUGAGUUGCCCUUGAGCCCCGUCCCAGUCCCCCCGGUUCCCCCUGAGCCCCUCCCAGUCCCCCCAGCUCUCCCUGAGCCCCAUCCCAGUCCCCGCAGUUGCCCCGAGCCCCAUCCCAGUCCUCCCAAUUGCCCCGAGCCCCUCCCAGUCCCCCCAGUUCCCCUUGAGCCCCCUCCCAGUCCCCCCAGGUUCCUCUGAGCCCCAUCCCAGUCCCCCCAGUUCCCACUCUCUGUAACCGUUCCGGGCACAGCUGGCUCAGGCCGAGUCCCGCUCGGGGCCGUUCCCGGGGGGCGGCUCCAAGGGGGAGGCUCCGGACGGGUCCCUCCUCCACGAGCGGCUCCUGCAGCUCCAGAACGCGCUGGCCGCCGGCGAGACGGACCGGAGGCUGCUCCAGGAGGGGCUGGAGGAGGCGCGGCGGGCGCUGGCGGAGGCGCGGCGGGAGAAGGGAAUGCUGCGGGAGCAGCUGCGGGAGCAGUGGGAGCUGGGAAUGCUGCGGGAGCCGGGAUUCCUGUGGGAACCGGGAAUGCUCCGGGAGCCGGGAAUGCCGCAGAAGCCGGGAAUGCCGCCGGAGUCCCCCCCGGACCCGCAGCAGGAGGAGCGGGACCCUCCCGACCGGGCUGGAUCCGCGCGGCUCCCGGCGGGGCCGGAUCCCCCCACGGGGCCGGAUCCCCCCACGGGGCCGGAUCCCCCCACGGGGCCGGAUCCCCCCACGGGCUCGACUGAGCGGGAGCUGGAGGAGGCUCGGAAGCGCAUCCAGGUGCUGCGGGUGGGUCCCUGUGCCGGGGCUGAUCCAUGGGAUGGGGCUGAUCCCGAUCCAUGGGAUGGGGCCGACCCUGAUCCAUGGGAUGGGGCUGAUCCUGAUCCAUGGGAUGGGGCCGAUCCUGAUCCAUGGGAUGGGGCUGAUCCUGAUCCAUGGGAUGGGGCUGAUCCAUGGGAUGGGGCCAAUCUUGAUCCAUGGGAUGGGGCCGGGGCUGAUCCAUGAGAUGGGGCUGAUCCUGAUCCAUGGGAUGGGGCCAAUCCUGAUCCAUGGGAUGGGGCUGAUCCUGAUCCAUGGGAUGGGGCCGGGGCUGAUCCAUGGGAUGGGGCUGAUCCUGAUCCAUGGGAUGGGGCCGAUCCUGAUCCAUGGUAUGGGGCUGAUCCU
rnacentral:lncRNA from 1 species